GAUGAACGCUGGCGGCGUGCCUAAUACAUGCAAGUCGAGCGAACAGACGAGGAGCUUGCUCCUCUGACGUUAGCGGCGGACGGGUGAGUAACACGUGGAUAACCUACCUAUAAGACUGGGAUAACUUCGGGAAACCGGAGCUAAUACCGGAUAAUAUAUUGAACCUCAUGGUUCAAUAGUGAAAGACGGUUUUGCUGUCACUUAUAGAUGGAUCCGCGCCGCAUUAGCUAGUUGGUAAGGUAACGGCUUACCAAGGCAACGAUGCGUAGCCGACCUGAGAGGGUGAUCGGCCACACUGGAACUGAGACAUGGUCCAGACUCCUACGGGAGGCAGCAGUAGGGAAUCUUACGCAAUGGGCGAAAGCCUGACGGAGCAACGCCGCGUGAGUGAUGAAGGUCUUCGGAUCGUAAAACUCUGUUAUUAGGGAAGAACAAAUGUGUAAGUAACUAUGCACGUCUUGACGGUACCUAAUCAGAAAGCCACGGCUAACUACGUG
rnacentral:rRNA from 1 species